rnacentral:rRNA from 1 species
UACGUAGGGGGCAAGCGUUGUCCGGAUUUAUUGGGCGUAAAGGGCGCGUAGGCGGUUUCUUAAGUUUGAAGUGACAGUGGGUGGCUUAACUACCCAAGGCCUUUGAAAACUGGGGAACGUGAGGACCAGAGAGGGACAUAGAAUUCCGGGUGGAGUGGUGAAAUGCGUAGAUAUCCGGAGGAAUACCAAAGGCGAAGGCAGUGUCCUGGAGGGUUACUGACGCUGAGGCGCGAAAGCUAGGGGAGCAAACGGG